CACUCCUACGGGAGGCAGCAGUGGGGAAUAUUGGACAAUGGGCGCAAGCCUGAUCCAGCCAUGCCGCGUGAGUGAUGAAGGCCCUAGGGUUGUAAAGCUCUUUCACCGGUGAAGAUAAUGACGGUAACCGGAGAAGAAGCCCCGGCUAACUUCGUGCCAGCAGCCGCGGUAAUACGAAGGGGGCUAGCGUUGUUCGGAUUUACUGGGCGUAAAGCGCACGUAGGCGGACUAUUAAGUCAGGGGUGAAAUCCCGGGGCUCAACCCCGGAACUGCCUUUGAUACUGGUAGUCUUGAGUUCGAGAGAGGUGAGUGGAAUUCCGAGUGUAGAGGUGAAAUUCGUAGAUAUUCGGAGGAACACCAGUGGCGAAGGCGGCUCACUGGCUCGAUACUGACGCUGAGGUGCGAAAGCGUGGGGAGCAAACAGGAUUAGAUACCCGAGUAGUCCCAU
rnacentral:rRNA from 1 species